GAUGAACGCUAGCGGCAGGCCUAACACAUGCAAGUCGAGGGAGAGGUUAUCUUCGGGUAACCAAAACCGGCGCACGGGUGCGUAACGCGUAUACAAUCUGCCUUUCACAUAGGGAUAGCCCGAAGAAAUUUGGAUUAAUACCUAAUGGUAUAUAGGAGCGGCAUCGUUUUUAUAUUAAAGCUACGGUGGUGAAAGAUGAGUAUGCGUUCUAUUAGCUAGUUGGAGAGGUAACGGCUCCCCAAGGCGACGAUAGAUAGGGGUUCUGAGAGGGAUGUCCCCCACACUGGUACUGAGAUACGGACCAGACUCCUACGGGAGGCAGCGGUGAGGAAUAUUGGACAAUGGUCGGAAGACUGAUCCAGCCAUGCCGCGUGCAGGAUGAAGGUCCUAUGGAUUGUAAACUGCUUUUGUAAGGGAAGAAUAAGGAGUACGUGUACUUUGAUGACGGUACCCUACGAAUAAGCAUCGGCUAACUCCGUGCCAGCAGCCGCGGUAAUACGGAGGAUGCGAGCGUUAUCCGGAAUCAUUGAGUUUAAAGGGUCCGUAGGCGGGCUGAUAAGUCAGAGGUGAAAGCGCUUAGCUCAACUAAGCAACUGCCUUUGAAACUGUCAGUCUUGAAUGAUUGUGAAGUAGUUGGAAUGUGUAGUGUAGCGGUGAAAUGCUUAGAUAUUACACAGAACACCGACGCGAAGGCCUAUUACUAACAAUUUAUUGACUCUGAUUGACGAAAGCGUGGGGAGCGAGCAGG
rnacentral:rRNA from 1 species